rnacentral:misc_RNA from 1 species
ACUUCUCACAAAACCUUUUGGUUUCUGUUGAUGUUGGGAACUGCGACCCCUCGUGGGACGCUUUCCUCAAAUGCAUUGGUGCGGCCCGCCGCCCGGUAACACAACGUUCUAGGUUCGUCCAACUCGUUGCUCGCCGGUGCAAUCUUGGUGCUGCACCUUAAGCCCGCCCUGUGCCUUGUGCACUUGGCUAACUUCAUU